AUACUUACCUGGCAGGGGAGAUGCCGUGAUCACGAAGGUGAUUUUCCCAGGGUGAAGCUGAUCCGUUGCUCUUCGGGUGUGCCGACCCCUGUGAUUUCUCCAAAUGUGGGACACUCAGCUGCAUAAUUUGUUGGUGGGGGACUGCAUUUGCACUCUCCCC
rnacentral:snRNA from 1 species